GCCCCCAUGGUCUAGUGGCCUAGGACGCCUGCCUUUCACGCAGGAGAUCGCCGGUUCGAAUCCGGCUGGGGGUACUA
rnacentral:tRNA from 1 species